CAGUUGGCGGGGUAACGGCCCACCAAACCGACGAUCAGUAGCCGGCCUGAGAGGGCGACCGGCCACAUUGGGACUGAGACACGGCCCAAACUCCUACGGGAGGCAGCAGUGGGGAAUAUUGCACAAUGGGGGAAACCCUGAUGCAGCGACGCCGCGUGAGCGAAGAAGUAUUUCGGUAUGUAAAGCUCUAUCAGCAGGGAAGAUAAUGACGGUACCUGACUAAGAAGCCCCGGCUAACUACGUGCCAGCAGCCGCGGUAAUACGUAGGGGGCAAGCGUUAUCCGGAUUUACUGGGUGUAAAGGGAGCGUAGACGGCAAGGCAAGUCUGAUGUGAAAACCCAGGGCUUAACCCUGGGACUGCAUUGGAAACUGUCUGGCUCGAGUGCCGGAGAGGUAAGCGGAAUUCCUAGUGUAGCGGUGAAAUGCGUAGAUAUUAGGAAGAACACCAGUGGCGAAGGCGGCUUACUGGACGGUAACUGACGUUGAGGCUCGAAAGCGUGGGGAGCAAACAGGAUUAGAUACCCUGGUAGUCCACGCCGU
rnacentral:rRNA from 1 species